rnacentral:rRNA from 1 species
GAUGAACGCUGGCGGCGUGCCUAAUACAUGCAAGUAGAACGCUGAAGGAAGGAGCUUGCUCUUUCCGGAUGAGUUGCGAACGGGUGAGUAACGCGUAGGUAACCUGCCUGGUAGCGGGGGAUAACUAUUGGAAACGAUAGCUAAUACCGCAUAACAGUAGAUGUUGCAUGAUAUCUACUUAAAAGGUGCAAUUGCACCACUACCAGAUGGACCUGCGUUGUAUUAGCUAGUUGGUGAGGUAACGGCUCACCAAGGCGACGAUACAUAGCCGACCUGAGAGGGUGAUCGGCCACACUGGGACUGAGACACGGCCCAGACUCCUACGGGAGGCAGCAGUAGGGAAUCUUCGGCAAUGGACGGAAGUCUGACCGAGAAACGCCGCGUGAGUGAAGAAGGGUUUCGGAUCGUAAAGCUCUGUUGUAAGAGAAGAACGAGUGUGAGAGUGGAAAGUUCACACUGUGACGGUAUCUUACCAGAAAGGGACGGCUAACUACGUG